UACGAAGGGGGCUAGCGUUGUCCGGAUUUAUUGGGCGUAAAGAGCGUGUAGGCGGCCAGGUAGGUCCGUUGUGAAAACUCGAGGCUCAACCUCGAGACGUCGAUGGAAACCAUCUGGCUAGAGUCCGGAAGAGGAGAGUGGAAUUCCUGGUGUAGCGGUGAAAUGCGCAGAUAUCAGGAAGAACACCUAUGGCGAAGGCAGCUCUCUGGGACGGUACUGACGCUGAGACGCGAAAGCGUGGGGAGCGAACAGG
rnacentral:rRNA from 1 species